rnacentral:rRNA from 1 species
GACGAACGCUGGCGGCGUGCUUAACACAUGCAAGUCGAACGGAAAGGCCUCUUCGGAGGUACUCGAGUGGCGAACGGGUGAGUAACACGUGGGCAAUCUGCCCUGCACUUCGGGAUAGGCCUGGGAAACUGGGUCUAAUACCGGAUAGGACCUCAAGACGCAUGUCUUCGUGUGGAAAGCUUUUGCGGUGUGGGAUGGGCCCGCGGCCUAUCAGCUUGUUGGUGGGGUGACGGCCUACCAAGGCGACGACGGGUAGCCGGCCUGAGAGGGUGUCCGGCCACACUGGGACUGAGAUACGGCCCAGACUCCUACGGGAGGCAGCAGUGGGGAAUAUUGCACAAUGGGCGCAAGCCUGAUGCAGCGACGCCGCGUGGGGGAUGACGGCCUUCGGGUUGUAAACCUCUUUCACCAUCGACGAAGGUCCGGGUUUUCUCGGAUUGACGGUAGGUGGAGAAGAAGCACCGGCCAACUACGUGCCAGCAGCAGCCGCGG